CGUAGGGUGCGAGCGUUAAUCGGAAUUACUGGGCGUAAAGCGUGCGCAGGCGGUUGUGCAAGACAGAUGUGAAAUCCCCGGGCUUAACCUGGGAACUGCAUUUGUGACUGCACGGCUGGAGUGCGGCAGAGGGGAGUGGAAUUCCGCGUGUAGCAGUGAAAUGCGUAGAUAUGCGGAGGAACACCGAUGGCGAAGGCAGCUCCCUGGGCCUGCACUGACGCUCAUGCACGAAAGCGUGGGGAGCAAACAGGAUU
rnacentral:rRNA from 1 species